rnacentral:rRNA from 1 species
UACGUAGGUGGCAAGCGUUGUCCGGAAUUACUGGGUGUAAAGCGCGUGUAGGCGGCAGACCAAGUCGGCGGUGAAAGCGCCCGGCUCAACUGGGCGAGGUCCGUGGAAACUGGUCAGCUGGAGGACGGUGAGAGGCGGAGUGGAAUUCCCGGUGUAGUGGUGAAAGUGCGUAGAGAGUCGGGAGGAACACCUGUCGGUGAAGGCGGACCUCGCUGGG